AGACAGAAUUGAAAGCCCUUCUCCGAAGAGGUGGCCCAAGAGGGGUCUGCAUUUCCAUAUUCGGGAACCCAGGAAAUAUCUGCUCUGUUAGGGGAGAGUGCAAGGAAUGGGAGCGACAUUGAAAGGGGCCACCGUGCCAGCCUAAAGGUUCCCCGGAUACUAUGAGAAAAGAGACACUGUUAUCGUGAGGAAUUUAGGUGAAUCUACUCGUAGAGCACUCACCACACGGCAUUGGUAAUAACAGCCAUACAGCACUGCCCUUACAGAACUUACACUAACAAACGAGGCUACAGCAGCAGGCACAGCUAUGAGUAGACCCUUAAGAAAACCCGCCACCAUCUACAGGGCAUCACUGCUGCUGAAGGCCGGCUCCCUGAUAUCCCCUACUUUGCGGAUAAAUUCCACUUCACUGUACCGCAGCUUUAAACAUAACAUGUACAGUAAUCAACUUCUGCAAAUGGCAGAGUAAUUUUUUUCUCUUAUUAUAAAGUAAGUAGGAGACGGGUUGCAGAUUACAGGAGGAAUGAGCUAGAUGGUCCCUCUAGUGGCCUGGAAUCACUGAUACAUGCCACCAAGGAUGCAGUAUUCCCAGGGAAUCAAGAUCUCGUAGCAGAGUCCCAAACUGUGUGUCAUAGAGGAAGAAAUGUUCCACAUACAGAGGUUGGUGUGACCCCUCCGUACCACAAGAAAGAACAAAGCAACCUCGAGGGUAGAAUGUGUCACAUUAUCUAGAGACAACUGAGUAACUGGAUGUGCAUUCACGUGCACAUCCCCACGUCACAAAGACUGCUAUGUUUCUCAUUCACUAGGUGCAAAGAAACCUCAAAACUGUCAACUACCUUCUAACGUCUUACUAUGAUAAAUAUGUGUUUUGAUGAUAAAGUAUUUUUAAUUGUCUAAAGCUGUUGGUUUUAUAUGAUGGAUCACAGACAAAAUUCCAGAGACUACUAACUUUAAACAGCCUUGUCUACUGAUUAUUCUGUGACGAGCCACAACGGUUUGGAUGAAUUAAAAAAAAACCACAUUCCUUACACAUACAUUUUAAUUAUUUCAUAAUAUUUCUUUCAUUCUUCUUAUACUUCAGAAAAUCAAGAAUCGUGCUAUUAAAAUCUAGAUUACUAUAUAAUUUAUGUCCUAUCAAU